rnacentral:rRNA from 1 species
GACGAACGCUGGCGGCGUGCUUAACACAUGCAAGUCGAACGAAGUGGCGAACGGGUGAGUAACGCGUAAUCACCCUGCCCUUCAGAGGGGGACAACAGUUGGAAACGACUGCUAAUACCGCAUACUGAAGGCGGGGAUUGCGUCUGCUUAGCUAGUUGGAAGGGUAACGGCCCACCAAGGCCAUGAUCAGUAGCCGGUAUGAGAAGAGGAACGGCCACAGCGUGACAGAGACACGGCCCAGACUCCUUCGGUAGGCAGCAGUGGGGAAUCAGCCGCAAUGGACGAAAGUCUGACGGAGCAACGCCGCGGGAGUGAUGACGGCCUUCGGGUUGUAAAGCUCUGUUAAUCGGGACGCGGUACCGGAAUAGAAAGCCACGGCUAACUACGUGCCAGCAGCCGCGGUAAUUC